CUCAAUUUUAUGAAGUCUUAUGGAUUCUUAAAUUUAGAUUGAAAGUUUGUAAAUGGGAAUGGCAUUAAAAAAUCAAAAAAUGCAAUUUAUAGUCACUUUUUAAUCAGAGAUUCCAAAAAUUACUAAUCUUUCUUCAUAAUAAACUUUUGAUAAACAUAUGAUUCUAGAGAGAUAAUGUUGGCAAGCAUCUCAGAAUUAUCUGUUUCAAAAAACAAUGCAGUGACUUCAUUGAUUAUAGGCCUUGGGAUAGCCUCAGUGCAUUCUUCUUUGUUGGAAUGUUUUGGAUUGUCCUUUGGCAAUCACAUUCAACACUUUAUUAACAAUUUCAUCAUUGAAUAUUUCUUCUGUUCAAGGCUGUAUAUUUUCAUCUACAUUCAGAAAGUCCUGAAAAUGACAUCUUCAGGAACUUGAGGAUCUUUUAGACAAAAUUCCUACAUCAGGGCUUUUUGUUCUAGAAUUGGGAUUGCUCUUGAAAAUCUUUUAUUGAAACUGAUUUGUCUGUAAUAAAUUGUGCAUGUCAAAAUGAAUCAGCAACUGUUACUUGGGAGAUAUCUUAUGCA
rnacentral:lncRNA from 1 species